rnacentral:rRNA from 1 species
CCCUUAGAUGUUCUGGGCCGCACGCGUGCUACACUGAACGGUUCAAUGGGUGAGGUAGUGCGAAAGCAUGACCCAAUCUCAAAAUCCGUUCGUGCUGGGGAUAGAAGCUUGCAAUUCUCCUUCUUGAACGAGGAAUACCUUGUAAGCGCGAGUCAUCAUUUCGCGCUGAAUACGUCCCUGCCCUUUGUACACACCGCCCGUCGCUCCUACCGAUUGAGUGGUCCGGUGAGGCUUCGGGAGAGCUAAAUGGAUUGUGUUUCACAAACUAUUUGGCUUGAACUUAGUCAAACCUUACUACUUAGAGGAAGGAGAAGUCGUAACA